rnacentral:lncRNA from 1 species
GGAGAGAAAGGGGUCAUCAAACAAUGCAUAAUCCACAGCAGUUCAUUAAAGCAUCUAGCAAAACAUGCAGUUGACUGGAGUUUACGAAGAAACAAAAUGUCUUACAGUAGGGUUAAUGUUGCAAACUGUGAAAAGUUUACUGAUGCCAGGUUAUCAGAUAUCCUGCAGUUCCUCAAAACUCUGCAAUGAAACAUGUCAAGAGUUUUCGGAUUUAACAAUUUGGUUGCACUACAGCAAAUAUUAAGAUGUAGUUUUGAGUCAUCAAGUGAAUGACAAGUUAUGCAUACAAGAUGUUCAAAGAUGUCAUGUUACUGAUGAAUGCCAGUGAAGAACUCCCAUUUACUAUGUCACCUAUUCGUCUGAACCACAGAAGUAGAUAAUUAAUUCUUCUGUUCUGCAACCUUAAUACUUGACAAUGAUACUUAUCUACUCCCGCCAUCAGUAGUCACUUACAAGCUUGUCAGUUGGACAAGAUUAGAAAGAGUGGUUGGAAGUGGACCUUGAAAUGAAUUGCCUUGAAACCGUCUGCAAAAUUAUAGUUGUUGUUACUAGUGAAGAAAGAAGGAAGAUCCUGCUAGUACAAGGGUCACUUUCUUGGUAAAAAAAGUAAAUAGGUUUAUGCAGAUAGAAAUAUGAUCUGUUCCAUAAAAAAGAUAAUUAUUAGAAAAAUCAAUUCAAUAUUUUUAACACUAGUAUUUUUUAAUGGAACAGGAGGGGUUAGGACCCCUACUGGUUAUAUAUUCAGGAAAAAGGAGUCUUUUACAGAGCAAAAAGGAGAAAAAGGAAAAUCACAACAGAUUGUCAAGCCAUUCUGUGAUUCUAGGGAAAGACUUCUUUUUUCUCGAUGGAUAACCAUAGCAAAUUCAUACUUGAAAAUGUUUCUGCAACUCUCAACUGAAACUUGCUGUUGUUUGGAGAUUGCAUUGUUCCUUGUUGUCCAGAAUAUGUGGAACAGAACCGCAUUAUCAUGAAUAGUGAAAAAAUGUAAUAUUUACUAAAAUGAUGAAACCACCUCACAUCUGACCUUAUGUGGAUUAUUUUAAUAGGCCACUGAAUGGAGAUUUAGCAGAGUAAAAACUAUACUUAGCUAAUACCAUCUCAUUUAUGAGCACAAUGAGCCAGGGUUCAAAAUGAAUUUCAUACUUGAGAACUGUUGCAAACUGUACACAAUGUCUUUAAAGAAAUUAUCAACACCAUCUGAAAAGUAUAAGUUGUAAAUCUUACAGAUCUAAUAAAUUACUGAGGCUCCCAAUGUAAUCUGGUAUUUGCCCAGUAAAAUCAUUAUCUGAUGCCCACCUAAUCACAAAUAAGAAUAACGCAUAAGGUUAAAUGAAUAAUACUGUUGACAAAACAUCUUUUAUAGGCAUACAAUAUUUUCAUGCUUGUAAGCUUAGAAAAUGAUGGUGGUAGUGGACCACUUAAGCCAGAGCUGUCAAUAUAUCUGCAAGACAGAAAUAAACGAAUAAGAAUGUUAACAUGGUUUGGUAGAAGAAAAGGUAAGGACUACAGGGUGCCCAAAAUUAAUCAAAAUACGCACAGUUGCUCAAGUUUAACCAUGUUACCCAGUUCGGGAGGAAGGGAUCCAUUUAAGUUGUUCAUGCUUAUGCCCCUGAAAUCCCAAAAAAAAUGUCAGGUUAGUAGCAAAAGAUUUGUGACAGGAAACUUUCUUACCUUUCGAAGGAUGAAUACUUUUCCCGACAGAGGUCAACUAGUAGAAGGAAUGAAGGUGUGUUUUUUCUAUAAGCUUGAUGUCGAUAGCAUGUAUUCUCAACUUAAACUGUUCUUUAUUUGUUGAUUCUUACACAUUUAAAUAAAUUUAUAGGUACGUGUACAAAGCCAGGUCGAGAUUUAUAAAACUUUGUAGUUUGGACAUUAGCAAAGAUUUCUACUGAAAUAGGGCCAUGAAACAGAGAAGGUAAAUUACUUACAGGGAUACGAGAUUCACAAGCUUCCCAAGCUCCUUUGGAACAGAUCCAGAUAAUGCAUUAAUUGCAAGAUUCCUUGUAUGUUCAAGGGAGAUAGUUUAAGUUUCAAUGUUACCCAAAACAUGCGAUGUAGUAAUGUUAGGUUCUAAAUCUCACAAGUAUUGCAAAGCAGUCAGUUCCCCAAGGAACGAUGGUAUAGGCCCUGUUAAGUAAUUCCGCAUUAAGUUCCUAAAAAAACGUCAGAUCAGAUCAGAUGUAAACGAAAAAGGAUGGCUCUCAGUAGGUAUUAUAUUUAAAGAAAUUUUGAGCUUGAUGUGGGAGGCUACUACAAAGCAAUCCGCUGCUAUGAUAAUAUGAUAUGCCGUGGAACUGCGGGAAAUGACAAAGUCCACCAAUAAGUUGCGACUAAACAAUCUUAAUAUACACUUGGGAUACUUUGGCUCACUGACGAUUUCAAGAACGUUGAGAAUUCAUACAAAUUGGUCAAGUGCGUGAGGUUCCUCAGCUCUUCUGGUAUAGGACCUACCAGAUCCAAUGCGUACAUUUUCCUGCAGCAAUAACAGUGAAGCACCCAUCAGCUCGCACCAUCUCAAUUUAGCCUUCAUGGAUGUUUUUUUUUUGAAAUAAACCUUCAUGGAUGUUCGUCGUCAGACAAACACCACCAGGUUAUGGAGCGCCGUCAAAUAACCGCACAAGCAAUAGUUGCAGAGAUAAGGACGAUGCACUAGCCUGCCACACUCUGAGUGCACGAACUGCCACCUCAGGUGGGCAAAUUAGAUCAUCCAGCAACUGAUGGUGGGCGUACGGAUAGGUAGCGUGAGACACUUACAGCCUGGUGAUGUGGCAGACGGUGUUGUUCUGGUACGUGCAGUCGCAUUUGAUUCCCGGGUUCAAUUUUGGGCGAUUGUCGACGUCGGUGUCGUCCGUGGCCGCGCCGGCGCAAGGGUCGACGCCGCUGAACCAAGAUGGCCACAGUCUGCUCCCGAGUUUGUCAAACACCCCCUUCAGCGCAUCCGCUGCGAAUGAGACACAAACACGAAAACGCGAUCAAACAUCCUGCCCCUCGGCAGUCCGAGAAAAUUUUGCAAUAUGCUCCUAUGGUUUAAGAUAUUUAGACCCUGACUAUAACUUUUUGCAGGCCGAGAGCUUGCAUUGUGUGGCCGAGGGGGAUUGAUUUGUUUAGUAUUCAUGUGCUCUAAUGGUCGAGAGUAUUUUGGUGUUACAUAGCUGAUCUCCGAGAGUGAACAUGAUUUCCAGAGAAGCAAUCACCGACUAACCUUUACCGACCACAGAGAAUAUAUAAAAUAACAGAUCACCCUCAGGCACUCAACGCGAACUCUAGGCAAAAGUGGUGAAUCUAGUAGUGUACAGUGAUAGCUAGUCUUAAGCUUGUAAUACAUAAAAAGCAUUAUAAGUACCCUAAAAGCUUGGUGACAUGGUAACUUUUUUCUUUUUUAAUAAAAAAUAUAUAUCUAGUAGGAAUCUUAGUCCCCACCUGUUCCUAAAAAAGUACCAAGACUCUAGCAGUCCUACCUCGGGGCUUUCUUAUUUUUACAACAAAAAAAAAAGGCAAUGGGGGUACUAAUACUAUGCAGCAAGAGGUGAGAACAAGAUGACAUGAAGAUGCACAAAAAUAUUUGUGCUCGAGAUGAAAUCUGUCCUGCCCUGCAAUGGACUAUCCCACUCUUUCACAACCAAAAUUUAUGCUCGAACAAGAUGCUUUUACCUUUACUAUCGGUUUCAUGACUACACGCACGCCGGCCUACAUGUUGCCAGCACAGCACAUGCGCCAACCUGUUUUGUUACGCCAUCUCAGCCCAGGUCUGUGCCAGGCAAGCAGCACGAAAAUGUUUCUAUGUUUAGUAUCGAUUCCCUUUGUUUCAAAAUAGAGUUGAAUUUAGAUUUAUCCUAAAUCAAAUUUCUAUAAAUUUGAUAGGCAUCAACCUCUACAACAUCAAAUUAGUUUCAGUGAAUCCACCAUGAAAUAUCUUGACAGUGUAUUUUAUUUGGUAUUUUUUGAUGAAGUCAGUAGGAAAGCCACAACCUAUUUUUUUUAAUUUUUUAUUCUAGACCUGUUUAAUUCGCUUCCAAGAGGAGUCGAACUAAGGUCUGCUGGAUACUGCUCAAGUGCUCUAACCACUAGGCUAGAUGCACUUUUUUAUUUGGUAUUGUAGAUGUUAUUAUAUUUUUUUAUAAACUUAAUCAAAAUUAGAGAAAGUUUGAUUUAGUGAACUGAGCGUAGCCUAGCUGGUAAGGUCCCUUGUGGUGGAACCUGCUCAGUGGUAGGUGAUGUGCCCAUUGAUAGCGAGAUGUCAGUGGUGACUUCAUCAAUCUCGAGGAUUUACCGGUUCAAUUUUUCGGAGGUGCUCAUAGGGGUAAAGUUGCGUGCGUGUAUUCGUAGGGACGAGUGUGCGUACAUGUAUGUGAGCGUCUACGUCUGUGAUUCACAGUAAAAAAGAGAAAGUUUGACUUAGAAAAAACUAAUGAAAAAUAUUUUAGAAUGGAUGAAGUAAUCAAUUAGGUGCUGAUUUAUUUUUUUAAGACGUACAUAUGAGAAAGUUACCUAUCAAAUUAUUCUUACUAUAUUUGGUCAUUUAAAGACGACUCGUCAUGCUAGAUGACCGGAAGGAGUAGUAAAGAAUUAGUCUUAGACGACUCCACCGGAGACAGGCAAUGAAAACGACAACUAGCAAGUAACUACCACGACAAGCAGCCAUAAGGUGGUUGAAACUGCACAACAAGUCAACAACUAGCUCUCUAAGGAAGGUUGAUUUUUAGGGCAGUUCCAAAUCAUAGUUUCUAUGGGUAGUUUUUAUGUUCACAUAUCAUCAAGAUGCCACUUGUAGAUCUAAUCUCCCCAACCUAUAAUUUCUAUGGGUAGUUUCUACGUAUGAUUUCACGCAAGCAGCACAAACAAAGCUCGGUCAGCUGUGGCAAGCAACCGCGUAGCCUUCAUGCUGCCACAGUCCGAGCCAUUGAAAUUAAAAUAAAUUCAUUCGCAGCUGCUAUAAGAUCGAUCAACCUGGAAAGAGCCGCCAAGAGACGAUGCAGGCCAAAAUGCAGGAGCGAGAUGAGCGCUGGUUCGAUCAGUGCCUGGACAAAGUGCCAAAGUGGCGCUAGAAGCAACGGACGGAGAACUAGCGCCUGGAGAAAGCAACAGCAGCAGCACCAACAACUCGUCUGGAACUUGAAGAGGGCUUCCUCGAUUUCUUUUGAUGUACGCCUUUCUUCUCCAAUCGAUCCUUAGAAGCGGCGCGUGGGGAAUUGCUGGCGGAGGCUUGGUGCGCGGCCGCGCACGGGGGUGGCCAGCGGCGUCAGGCGGACACAAGCGCCGGAAAUUGGCACGCGCGAGCGAGGGAGGGGAUGGCCCGCGGCGCGCGCGUGAGGGAGGGUCGCGACGCGGCAGUAGCAGGCGCGCACGGAGCCUGGGGGUGGGUCGCGGCGCACAGCGGAUCGGGAAGAUGCGCAAGAAAACGAGGAAGAAAACCGUAACGCUGGCCCAACGCGAUUUCGGCGGUAUCUACGCACUUGAUUCGCGAGCUGACUCGGUUUCUAACAUGAGAAAAACAACGAUAUCUCGCUCUUUCUUCGUUAAAUCACCUGCCACGUCGUUAGCCCCCUUUGUCACGGCUCCUUGAGGAGCUUCUCCACCGGCUUCUCAAGGAGCCGUGUCAAACACUUUCUUCAAAACAGCUUCUCCGGCGAAACUGCCUAAAAACCUGUUGAGAGGAGCCAAAACGAGCAGGCGGAGCUAGGAAAAUGAGCUCCCCGCGGCUCCCUCAUCCAUCCUGCACCAUUCGGUACCAUAAUACCCCUGGAGUUUGCCGAAUUUACACCCAUUUUACCACUGCCUUCUUUUCUCUCUCUCCCCUAUCGCCCAUUAGUGGAGGAACGACGGGCGGCGACUAGCAGCGGGAGGUUCAAGCACCAGGAGGCGUGGCAGAGGUGGCCGGCAGUGGUACGCGGAAGCGGUGGCGGCUGGCAGCCGUAGGCAGCGCAGGCCAGGGAGAAAGAGAGGACGAAAAUAGAAAGGCAGCUGGCAGCACGCGUGGUGGCCAGAGAAGGAGGCUAGGGGGGUGGCCGGAGAAGGCAGCCAUGGGAGCGCGGCACGCCGGAGAAGGUGACGACAGGCGGCUGAUCUGGUGCAGUGAGGUGUAGGGUCGCGACACGGUAGUAGCAGGCAUGCACGGAGCCUGGGGGUGGGUCGCGGCGCACAACGCAUCGGGAAGAUGGGCAAGAAAACGAGGAAGGAAACCAUAACACUAGCCCAACGCGAUACCGGCGGUAUCUAUGCACUUUGGUGCGCGAGCCGACUCAGUUUCUCACCUGAGAAAAACGAUUUCUUACUCUUUCUUCUUCCCUGUUUGGUUCCUUUAGUGCAUAGACUGGACUAAACUUUAGUCCCACCCCUGUUUGGUUCCAUGGACUAAGGGGGUGUUUGGCUCCCAGGGGUCAAACUUUAGCCCCUGUCACAUCGGAUGUUUGGAUACUAAUUAGGAGUAUUAAACAUAGGCUAAUUACAAAACUAAUUGCACAGAUGGAGGCUAAUUCGCGAGACGAAUCUAUUAACCCUAAGUCCAUGAUUUGACAAUGUGGUGCUACAGUAACCAUUUGCUAAUGAUGAGUUAAUUAGGCUUAAUAGAUUCAUCUCGCGAAUUAGCCUAGGGCUUCUCUAAUUAGUUUUAUAAUUAACUCAUGUUUAGUCCUCCUAAUUAGCAUCCGAAUAUUUGAUGUGACAAAGGCUAAAGUUUAGCCCCUAGUAUCCAAACAACCCCUAAAAUGGACUAAAGUUCAUAAAUACUGUUAAACAAAGACCUUUUUACUCUUCUUCCCUACCCUCUUGGUAUCCCUGCGUCUACUCCUCCUCACACGGGAACUCUAACUACCGCUGGUUGAAGCUUCUCCAUCUCCAGCGCCAAUGGAGCACCGCCCGGGCAUGCCCAACCUACCCCGCCACAUGCGAACUCCCGCGCGGUGCAGGCAAGAUCCUUUGUGUGCCGGCGAGCAGUGGAGCGAGCAGAGGAUUGGCCCGAAUGGGGGAGCCUCGAAUCGGCGACAAGAUGGAGGCUCAUUGAUUCGGCCACAAGGUGAGCUCAAGGGGGCGUCGUGUUGAUUUGGACGCUGGGGAGGCUCGACGGGGUGGCGAUGUGUCGAUUUGACCGUCGGAGGACCCCGAGGGGGCGGCGGCAGUCCUUCUCAUCGCCUCUCCCCCAUGGCGGGCUAGCACCAUCGUACAUUGAAGCUCCGCCAGCCUAGCUGCAGGGCAAGCGAGCUUCGAUAGUGCGGCCACGGUACGGUCGAGCGCCACCGCGUAGGUGAGGGCAGCAGUGGGCCGGCGGCGAGGGGAGGGGAGCAGCGGUGGGUAGGCACGAGCGGAGGAGCAGCGGCCGGACGUGGGGAGAGCGGCGGCGUGGGGAGGAGAGCAGGAGGGAGGCGGGUGGUGAUGGCAGCGGGCGGCGACGGCAGCGAGUGGGAGGGAGGCCAGGUGGGAGGGAGGCGGCGGGCGGGAGGGAGCCGGGUGGGAAGGAGGGCAGUAAAUGAGGGGUAGGGGUGUCCCAACACCCUUUAGUCCAGUUUUGUGGAUUAGAGGACUAAAGCCUUUUGUUCAAACUUUAGUCCACUGUUUGGGUGUUUAGGGACUAAAAGUGCACCAAAACUUUAGUCUAUGAGAACCAAACACCCCCUGAAUCACCUCCCACAUCAUUAGAUUGCUGAGAUGGUAACACCCCCUGAAUCACCUUCCACAUCAUUAGAUUGCUAAGAUGGUACUGUAUUGAAUGAUAUAGAAAUUGGGUGACUUGAAGGUUGGGAAUGCCCUUAAUAUUUUCUCACUUGGAUCCCAAUUUCAUCUCGUGGGCUUGCUCUGUUAAGUUUCCUCUCAUGUGGUUGAAACAGCUUCGGCUGUGGCUUCUCUGAUGGAGCGGUUUUUUUAGCUCUAGUUUGCUUGAUUGGAAAAACAUUUGGCAAAACAGCUUCUCCUGAUUGUUUUAAAUGGAUAAAAAUGUGAAAUGUCCAUACUACCCUUACCUUUUUUUUCUUUUCUAUUUCUUUUCUUUUUUUUCAUUUUCCUUCCUCUUUUAUUGCUUUUUCCUCCACGGUUCCAACCGUUUCUUUCUGCCUACCUUAUCCUUUCGCUCCAUCCCAACGCCAACGCCCGCGCAUGCUGCUGCAGUGCCAUCCUCAUGCCCUACCGCGCCUAGGGGCAAACUGGAGACUUCGGCCUUGCGGAUGGGACGAAGCUGCGGGGAGUCAAUUUUAAUUUUUGGCUUCUCCUCCACUCUUAGCUCCUCUCAGCGCGAAUUGUGGGGCUCCAUCGGCGGAGCCGUUUCGUUCUUCCCCGUUUGGCAGCUAGGGCUGCUCAAGAAGUCCUGCCAAGAGGACCUUAUUCGUAGGCAAAACAUGAACGAAGUCAAAAGGCCAAAAAUCAUAACAUCGUACCAUUAAACGCACCCCUGUUGCCCUUCUACCCCCAAACAUUUGGAACGAGAUAGUUUCUUAGACGAAUCGGGCAGAUGAUUCUCUGGAACAUAUCAGGGAUGGCUUGCCUUGCCUUGCCGGGCAGAUGAUUCUUGGAAGAAAAUUACCGUGCCUUGCCAGGCUCGUGCCGGACCCUACUGGGGCCGCUCGUUUGGACAUCCAUAGCCAAGUGUGAAUUUUAUGGUGGGCAAGCAAAAGGCGAAACACGAUAUCGAUGGAUUGAUGCAAGCUGAUUUGAAACCCCCUCGCUAAUCUGAAAGAAAUAAGACAUGCACGCUUACCUUCAACCGGAUCGGUCCUUGUCCUCGCUUGCUGAGCUUGCGCAGAUGCAGCUAGAAGAAGCAGCAGCAGCAGCAACGUCGGGAGCGCAGCAGAGCCAUGGCGGCACGAACUGCUGGGUCCAGGCCUCCUCAUCUCCUUCCCCUCUCUCUGGCCUCGAGCUCGGGAUUGGCUGCCCCUUCCGAGGCCGAGCGGGAUAUAUGGUAACCUGAUGGAGACUCGGAUGGCGACUUGUCUCAGGCCCCGCCGCCGCGGUGGACACAUGCACCUCCCUCGACGCUGCGCCACCAUGCAAGGAUGGCGCAACUAGGGAAUUUUCUAUGGUCAAGUGGCGCCACUGCUCUGUCCAAGACUCCAAGCACAGUGGACGCGACGGGCCAACAACUACCUCCAGGCUCCCACAUGGAAGCAGAGCCGAAGGCGAUCGACGACGACGGUGACCGUGUUGUUCUGUGCGAGGAGACUUACAGCUUGGUGACGUGGCAGACGGUCGCCGCUGAUGUUCCAUGCCGACGCCGCCGUUUAGCACUUUCAUUAAAUAUUUUACAUAUUUUCGAUAAUGUGGUGAAAUUGUGUUUUCUAUGAAGGCUUGUGAACUUGAUAUUACAAAUAUUAUAUAAUUCCAUCAUAUGCGUUACACUAAAGAUUUUACCAGAAGCACAGGAAUCAAUGGGUGAUAUUGCUCCACCUCGAGUGCAGAGUGGGAGUGAACUUACAUGUUCUAAAAUAUAAACAAUAUAAACUCUUGUUACGCUGCUGGAGAGGAGGCAUCGCUGGAGUCGCACUUCGCCUCGUUGGACACGCAUCACCCCUCUGCUCUGUAUGGGUCUCUUUUGCGUAGCUCUUGCUGGCUCCAGCUCCAUUACUGUAGCACACUAUAGUUUAUCGUAGUGCGUGUCGGAUCUGGAGUUGGGGGGAGCAAUUUUUUCUAAAUUCACCGGCUCCUCCUCCAUAACUGUAGUACAAUGUAGCUAAUCGUAGCGCAUGUCAGAUAUGGAUUUUGACUCUUCACUACAGUACAGCACAACAGUGAUACAAGUAGCGUGACAUAGGAAACGAGAGCCGUGAGGGAGCGGUGCCAAAGGGGUCAUACGGGUGUCUUCCUCUAUUUUCUUUGCGACGGGAAGAGGUAAACAUAUGGGUGGGGCAUCAAGCUAAGUGCACGAGAUUGUGCUCUGAGAAAAUCUUGCUGCUUCUUUUUUUAAUCAUAGAUCGGGUUGGCAUCGUCCUGUCGUUCUGUCAUAAAUCAUAUAUAUAGAUCCGGAUAGACCAAACCCUCCAACAUCAUCAUUUGGUCCUGGCCUCAAAAAUCAAACCCGAAAAAGAAAAUCGAUCUAAGACGGGCGAAGCAACAAUCGAUCAGAGCACAUAACCUAACACAAAAUACGUGCAAAAGCUGAAUAUAUAUCCUCAGAACGUUUGUGACGUGCAUUUACAGAAAACUGUCCGUCAACUUGCAAAUCACCGGCCUUCUUCUCGGAGCUGUUAGAGGUUUAGGCAUUUUACGGCAUAUUUUAAUUCCGAAUAUUUCUAAGUAAAUUAUGGUUAUUGUGAGUGAUACAGAGCGUGUGCAAGUGUUUUGUUUAAAACACGUUUGAACGUAAACAGAACCAAAAGAAAGAACCAGAUAAGGUUCAGUAUGUACCUAGGGGCGGGAUCAUUGCCGAAGGCAAUGGGUGCGCCGUUCCUAGAACUGGAUGCAUCAGACAUUGUGUCUAAAAUGUCGGUUCGGGCUGUUCGAUGUAGUUGAUCAAAGUUGAUGCAGUGUCGAGUUGGUGCAGAGCAGUCCCUUGAACGGCCUCCAGGAUGUAGCAUGACGCGCAGAAGAUGCGCUUCCCCAAAACUUGAUCGCCUGCCUACUCGUGCAAGUGUCGCAGCAGGAUGAAGUUUCGGAGGCCUGCGCGUAGAGGCUCGCGAUGGGAAUGUCAAGAUAGCAGCGGGCAACAGCAAAAAAAAAGGGAGAGAUGCGCGUAGAGGCUCGCGAUGGGAAUGUCAAGAUAGCAGCAGGCAACAGCAAAAAAAAAGGGAGAGACGCGUGCGCGGCUCGACGAGGUGAGCAAGCGCGCACGGCACCCUUUCUCUCUUCCUCAACUUCUCAAUUAGUGCACACAUAGUCCACCUAUUUAAGUUGGUUAAGAUACUCUUAACUAUCCAGGUAGAAUUAACCACUUUAUCCAUCUAGCAUUACACGUGGAUCCUGAGAUUAAAUGAAUUAAAUCGGCCUAACCUGAAUAUUCCAACAGGAGCUAGCUAAUGAACGGCGAAGAGGUGUGCGACGAGGCGGCCCUUGGGGCCAAGCUCGACUGCCCGCUCAUAUUGCUGCUCAUGAAGCUGCUGGUGUUGCCUCCCUUGAUCUGCCAUUCGGUGAUGUAGCUGGGCUUGUUCACCACCUCGCCCACCUCCACGUCGUCCCCGGCCAGCAUCGACACAGCCCGAGACAUGGACGGCCGCUGGUGGGGCGAGCCCUGGGUGCAGAGCAGGGCCACGUGGAUGGCACGGAGCACCUCGUUGCUGUUGAAGUCAGCAAUACAGUUGCCAAACCUGAAAGCACAGAAAAUUAUCUAGAAAUGCUAAGAUGCCAGGCUAGCGUGACAUGUGUUUAGGGACGUUUCAUUUACCAAAUAUAAUCUCGUAGUAAUACCGUAUCCCUUAAUUUAUAGACGGGAUUAAAAUCAUUGGUGAGUUGCAUGGCAAUAAUAAGUAUAUCGGUGAAUGAGUAUUCUUUUUUUAAGUCAACGGGGGAGUGCCCCACCUGAUUCAUUAUAGACCAGCACGCUAGCACGCUUCCAUUAUUGGUGAGUUGUAUGGCAAUAAUAAGUAUAAGCCCCCUGCUCUUUUGGCUAGCACGCUUGCUCCCACCCAACAAGACAUUGUGCUCCACUAACUGUAUCUUCCCCGGACCACAGGAAACGUCAUCGUUGGCAAUUGAGAGCGUCAAUGUUCCCUGGGGGUAGAAGGAGCACUGACAUAGCGUAGGUAAGCUGGCUGUCCAUGACGCUAUUGAUCAGCACUGCAUGGCCCAUUGGAUUCAGUAGGGAGGCGUGCCAGCCGCUGAGAUGCCUGUCCGCUCUAGUGAUCAGAGGGCUGAACACGGACAGACGUAGCUUCUCGUGGGACAGUGGCAGCCCCAGGUAGGUUUGGGGGAAGCUGCCAAGUUGGCACCCAAGAAUACUUUGAAGCGCCGUGGUAGUCGAGCUGGAAGUGUUCAUUGGCAUCAUGGUACUCUUGUUGAAAUUGAUGUGCAGCCCCGUGGCCUCGCAGAACAGAUCAAGCACCUGCUUCAGCGCCACCAGCCCAUCUUGAUCUGCCUUGAGGAGGAUGAGGGUGUCAUCGGCAUAUUGGAGCACGGGGCACGGCUUCCCCGAGGUGGCAGGGUGUGAAAUCCUCUGGUCGAGCUUGAUCAUCUGCUGAAGGACGUCAGUGACCAGAAGGAACAACAGGUAGGGGGAUAGUGGAUCCCCCUGCCGUAGGCCUCUUCCACAGGCGAACCACGGGCCAGGAACACCAUUGACAAGGACAACAAGCUUCAAGGUUUGCAACAUGCUCGUGAUCCAGUUGCACCAGAGGGGCGGGAAGCCUCGCGCAUCCAUGAUGGCGUUGAGACUGAGACAAUCCACAGAGUCGAAGGCUUUGGCGAAAUCAAGCUUCAGAACCACGGUGGGUAGCUUGCGGCAGUGGCAGCACUGGACGAGCUCCAUCGCGUAGAUGAAGUUCUCAGAGAUCGAGUGCCCCUUGAUGAAUCCUGUCUGGUCUAGAUCAAUGAGGCGGGGGAUCUAGUGUUGCAGCCGCGUCGUCAGCAUCUUAGAGAUGAUCUUCAAGGAGCAAUUUUGCAGGCAGAUUGGGCGGUAGUCCCCCGGCGUUUUGUCAAGGAGACAGCGACCGCUUCGUACGAUUCCACUAACCGAUUCAAUGUAGCAACGACAGCUGCUUUCGUCACGGAUGUGCACCACGUCCAUGCGUUUGCAGGAAAGGGAGCGCAAAAAAAAAGAGAUAUUUUUGUGAACCGUACAGGCGGAUAUUACAAGGGCUGGGCCUAUUACAAGGCCCAAGGCCUGGUCACUCAUGACACAAAGCACGUUCGGUGAUAUGAAGCUGUGUGGUCCAGCCAAUUGCAAUUUACAGCCUUUUUUCGAGCGAAUUGGCAAUUCUUGUACACAUCCGAAUCGAAAUUUUUCCAAGUGAAUUUCCAAGAAACAAUCUUGGUCUUGGCAGAAGUUGAUCUUAACUUGCCGAUGGGCGAUGGUCAUCAAUCACCGGCCUUCAUCGAUGACGGAGCUCAGGGACAUGGCCUCCGCCCCCGGCUCCGAGCUCGACGUCCCCAUGGCGUUGCUCUGCCACUCGAUGACGUAACUGGGCUUAGUAACCGCCUCGGGCACCUCAAUGUCCCCGACGAGCAUCGACACCACCCUCGACAUGGGCGGGCGCUGCCGAGGUGAGCUUUGGAUGCAGAGGAGGCCAACGCGGAUGGCACGGAGCACCUCUUCGCUGUUGAAUUCUGUGAGCCUAGGGUCUGUGACGUCCAGAGGAUGGUCGUCCUCGUAAAGUUGCCAGACCUGAAAGCAUGAUAAGUUGGGGGACAAUUCAGAUCCAACUGUUUUUUUUUUCCUGUCGCAAUAGCAGAACAAAAAAACACACAAUCAUCAUUUUCAAGAUGGUUCCAAACAUUGAUCUUCUGCUGUGCAAGUACGCAACAAUAGGAUCCACAAUAAUACUACGGCCAUGCUAAAAUUUAACAAGAGAUGCCAGCCUCUAAUAACAAGUUCACAUAAUGACAUGUUGACUAGCAGUUUCUGCAAAAAAAAAAGGCAACUUUUCGCAAGUUUUUGGUUAGACUGUUUAAGUCCAAGGUUCGAUAAAACCCUUUGUCACCGGUCCGUGAAGGGACGUAUCUCCCUCUGAUCUAUUUUUUCCUUAAAAAUUCUAUGAGAAAAAUACUAUCUGGAACAAAAGAAAUUCAUAUAAUGAAAAAGUUCCAUCCAUGGGAAAAAAAGAAAGAAAGUACAAGUAUAAUCAUACCAUCUAAUAUAGUUAAUGUAUUUUUCUAAUAUAAAGCAUCAUGUUCUCUACCCACUCGUAAAAUUUAAAUCUAAAACUCAACUUGUACAUGAAAAAAAAAUAUUAUGAGGGAUAGGUCGGACCAACUAAAAUAGUUUGGGAUAGUAAAUUAAUCCAGAAUUUUGUUCAUAGGGUUAAACGGAAAAAGUGGAUUGCUUAGGGUAGUAUAAUUUUUCCAUUUUAUGUUUCUAUAGUCUAAAUAAUUGUUAAGUGCAGGGAAAGGAUUAGCUUUAUUGAUCUGUGGAACUAACACAAUGGCAACGACUGAGCUAGAUUCGCCCUCUGCAGAGGCUCUGAAUCUUAACAACUCAAUCCUUGCUUGCCUAUCAAUAAAGAACCAGCCGGCUUAUAUAUUGCUUGGUGCUAACAAACCAAAUCCUAAUUAACAGCUAUUGCUAACCUCCUGCCAUCUUAUCCAACAAAUCAGGCGCCUAACAUGCCGGAGCUGUUGCUGGCGCCGGCUUGCUGCGCCGCCUGUAGGUUCAGCCCACAAAAGCGUCCACAACAAUAAUACCUUAUAUUUUGAUAAAAAAUAGGUAUGUCUCAUCAACAAAUGAUUUUAGAAUGAUAUAAAUUGUGUAGUAUUGUAGGUGCGGGUACUAUUCAAACUUUAGCAGACUAAAAUUGUGGUUGUGUUUUUUUUUCUGCAGGUAAAAAAUCGUGGUUGUGUUUGAUUAAAAAAUCUCAUGAAUGCAUGUGUGCUUUGAUACUUUAAAUCACUCAUGAAUCUAGUGUGGAUUUUCCGACCCCAAUAGCAAAGGAAAAAGAGUGGAACAUUGCAUGACCUGGAUCUCAAUUGUACAGUGACCUUACCCAUUCUAAAAGAUAUGCUUUGUCUUCACCAAGCCUACCAUCAUAGUUUGGCCUUCCAGCUAUAGUCUCCAAUAUGACCACACCAAAAGCAAACACAUCAACUUUCUCACUCAUAUGACCUCUCAUGGCGUACUCAGGUGCAAGAUAUCCACUUGACGAAAACAGCAAAAAGAUCACCAUUAGCUCACAAAGUUAACGAAACUAAUAUAGUGUGUCAAGAUGCGUAAGGGGGAGAAGGUUGGAGAUGUGCUUACAAUGUACCAGCAACUUUUGUGCUGAUAUGCGUGUUCUUGUCAUCAUAAAGUUUGGCGAGACCAAAAUCAGAUAUCUUAGAAUUAAGAUUGGCAUCAAGUAAGACAUUACUAGCCUUUAUAUCCCUAUGCACAACACGGAUGCUAGACUCUUCAUGGAGGUAAGCCAGGCCUCUUGCAAUGCCCAAACAUAUCUCAAAGCGUGUUGGCCAGUCCAGGUUCAAUCUCCCAUUUCCUACCAAUGAAGAAUAAUUUUCAGAUUUAUGUAAGAAACCUGAACUCUUUGCACUUGCAUCGAAUUGAAUGAAACAUUACCGAACAAUGCUUUAUCAAGGCUUCCGUUGUCUAGAUACUCGUAAACCAACAAUGGGUUAUUGCCUUCAAGGCAGCAACCAUACAACUUCACGAGAUUACGGUGUUGCACUUGAGAAAUAGUUUCUAUUUCUGUUAUGAAUUGCUUCUUCCCCUGACGGGAUGUUUCAGAUAGUAGUUUUACUGCCACUACACUUCCAUCGGAUAAUUUACCCUGCCAGAAGGUAUCAUUUUUAAAAAUGCAUGUUUUAAGUAUCAGCGUUACCAUAUGUAUACUGUAAUGAAGAAAAUGAAGAAGACAACCACAACAAAAAGAAAAAGAAAUCAGUAGGGAGCAUAUGUAUAUAUUUUUUUGAAAUAAAUAUGUAUAGAUUUGUAUUAGUAAAAAGAACGGGAGAAGCAUGUGCAGUGAGAAAAAGAAUUCACAUUGCCCAAAAGUAGAGAUAAAAUAAAAGAGGUCUAGCCAAUUUGCAUAAAGAAACAGAUCAGUGUCAAAAAAUUCACAGAAAGUAAAAUUUAACAGAAAAUUGUCAUCCAUGUGUACUACAUAUGAACUAACCUUAUAAACUGACCCAUACCCUCCUUCGCCGAGAAAGUUACUGGAAUUAAAAUUUUCACUAGCGGUCUUUAGUUCACCAUAACUGUAAGUGAAUAAAUUAGGUCUUCCAACAGUAUUGUACAGGUCUGCAAGGAUGACAAGCAAUAAAUUCAUGAACACAACCAAUGUUUGUUUAAAGAAUACAUUGUGAGCAUAGUGUAUCAUGUACCUUGUUGCUCCAAAGACAGUUUUCUACUUUUCUGCCUCCGGACAUACAGUCCAGUGAGCACUAUUAGUCCUACAACUACUGCACCAACCGCAGCUCCAACAAUUGCACCUGUUUUAUUCUUACUUCUCUUCCGAGCAGCAUUAGGUGCUGUAAUCGUGAAGUAUGUCAGAUUCAAAAAAAGCUCACUUGUUGGAAUAAGACAGUGAUCUUACAAAGAAUCAGCAUAUUUUGACUCUGAAGUUUAUGUUAUGUUCUCCUUUACUCAUUUUUAUUUUGGAAUUCAGAUGAGAAUAUUUGCACAAUUUAGAAUAGAUAUGCACGAUUAGUAUAUAUUUAUGCAUAGGUUUAAUUGUCAGCAUGUUUAAUUGUCAGCAUUUCUCAUGGUCGAAACUAUAUGCACAAGUCGACCAAAGAAGGCUGUGGUCAACAGCCCGUAAUUCAACACCCGAUCCGUUGAAGAUGGACCGUAAAAGAUGUCAAUGGGAAGGCUGCUGCUGUCACUACUGACGUUGGUGAUCUCCGUUUCCUGCAAGUUCAUUUCGUUUACUUCUGUCACUACUGACGUCACCCGAUCCGUUUCCUUCUACUACAUCUCACCUGCACCAAGCAGGCAUAUGGAUCUUCGCUAAAGCCUAACACAGCUUCUCCAAGUUCAUUUCAAGUCUAUCUAUUCACUAUUAGAUUUAGGUGAUCACACUCAUGCGAGUUUAGUUGGUCCCGUUGCAAUGCAUACGGACCGGGUAUCCCCCUGGAAUUCUAAAAAAAAAACUCAUGCGAGUUUAGACCUAACAAGAUGGUGUUAGAAUCAUGUGAUUUGAAGCAAAUGGGAGAGAGAGUACCUGGAGUUACACUCAAAGCUGAGAUUAAAGGCCCGUAGUGGCCUUGAGUAGGGAUGCAACAAGUGCCCUUGCCAGCCCAGAACAGAUGAAUUUCAAGGAAGUUUCUAGUGACAGGAAUAAUAUAUUGCUUCUGGACAGCAGCGUAAGAUCCUCUUGCUUCCUUUCUUAUGUCAAAGUUCUGCUCCUUCCGCUCACCCUUUACCAAAAUAAAAAACUCGUGACCAGCUCAAGCUAAAAUGUAAAAACCAAGGGUAGGUUAUUAGUACGACUGGAACUAACCUACCUGUAUAUAGAUAUCAAAAACUCUUUUACCUAAACUUUGCCAAGUCCGUGAGUCCUCAAAGCUAAUCUCUGCAAAUUGAAGCGUUACUACAUAGUUUCCGUUCUCAAGUCCAAUGCCAAAGUAUCUUAAAGACGAAGGCGACAUCCUUGCUCUCUGGAACAGUUCUGAAUCUGGGGUAUUCCGAAACAGGCGUGUUGAGGUGUAUACUGUGUAACUUGCAUUUGAGCUUUGUAUUAUGUAAUCUCUUUCAAAUGCCUCCAUGAACCUCCCAACAUUGCUAACACCCCAUGUUGGUGCUCCUGUAACAUAAUAGGAUGCAGGUCCAAGAUUGGCAUCAUCAGGCAGAUACACGGAACCAUCUGAUCCUGACAUUGAACUACUGCUCCCGCAGUCCACAGCAAAGGAGGUAGCUGCAAGCAUGUUGAAUUAUUUAAUACUGAUGUUAAUUUAGCUAAGUAGACGCACGUUGCAGAAGCUAGAAGCUCACUUUGUGGAGAGCCAAGAAAGCAGGGUGUGUCUCGCUGAAGGCACUCCAGCCCCGAAGGUAAUAAGACACUGCAGAUGUCAAACAUUGACAUUUUGAAUUCAAAAUACGAGCUUAGAGAACAAUAAUUGUACAUGAAGACUUUGAGGAGCUAUUCGAAUGUAAACUGACCUGUUAUUGGAGUUGCUGACCACGAAAUUGUUUGCCACCAAAUUCCUAUGUACAAUGAAACAUGGAAAAAAGGCACCGUUCAUACUUCAGAGCAUAGAGGGUUUGUUUUAUAAGACAAAUAAAAGCAGGGACAAAUAACUGAUUCAUUUUUUCAGCGAAACUGUAAUGAAAAGUAAUUCUCCUUCAUUAAAGAUUCUGAAUUAUAUGUGGCUUAGAUUCUGAAUCAUAGAUGACGUCAAAUGCAAAAAGAAAAAGAAACAAAGAAAAAAGAAAUAUGAUCUAGGUGCAGCAAAAGCAGCUUUUUAGAUGUAGUUGAUAUUAAAAAAUGCUAGUUUAAUACAUGUGUACGAUAUUGGAUUUUCGGUCAGUCAAUCAAGCUUGCAAAACUCAGCACUUACAAUGUCAAAUUCGGACUAACCCAGGAGGGAAAGUUUCCUGAUAGCUGGUUGUAGGAAAAGUCUCUACACAAAAGAAAGCAUGUAAAUGUUAUAGAUAAACGCCUUCCUGGUUUUACUUCACAAAUGAAAGUGGACAAACAUACAAGUUUUUAAGAGAAGUUCCUAUAGAACUUGGAAGGCUUCCUGAAAGACUAUUAUUCCCGAGAAACCUGGGCAGACCAAAUUUGCGCAUUAGCAAGAUUGAUGAUCAUUGUCAUCAGAACCUAGAAAUAAGUAUCAGAAGGCAAGAUAAACCAUACAAGAAGCUGAGUAUAUUCAGAUUCAGCAGAGCUUGUGGUACUUGGCCAGUGAUAUUGUUAAAACUCAAAUCCCUGUAACAGUAGAACAAAUGAGACUAGGAGAGAAAGGGGUCAUCAAACAAUGCAUAAUCCACAGCAGUUCAUUAAAGCAUCUAGCAAAACAUGCAGUUGACUGGAGUUUAGGAAGAAACAAAAUGUCUUACAGUAGGCUUAAUUUUGCAAACUGUGAAAAGUUUACUGAUGCCAGGUUAUCAGAUAUCCUGCAGUUCCUCAAAACUCUGCAAUGAAACAUGUCAAGAGUUUUCGGAUUUAACAAUUGGUUACACUACAGAAAAUAUUAAGAUGUAGUUUGAGUCAUCAAAUGAAUGGCAAGUUAUGCAUACAAGGUGUUUAAAGAUGUCAUGUUACUGAUGAAUGCCAGUGAAGAACUUCCAUUUACUAUGUCACCUAUUCGUCUGCACCACAGAAAUAGAUAAUCAAUUCUUCUGUUCUGCAACCUUAAUAUUUGACAAUGAUACUUAUCUACUCCCGCCAUCAGUAGUCACUUACAAGCUUGUCAGUUGGACAAGAUUAGAAAGAGUGGUUGGAAGUGGACCUUGAAAUGAAUUGCCUUGAAACCGUCUGCAAAAUUAUAGUUGUUGUUACUAGUGAAGAAAGAAGGAAGAUCCUGCUGGUACAAGGGUCACUUUCUUGGUAAAAAAAGUAAAUAGAUUUAUGCAGAUAGAAAUAUGAUCUGUUCCAUAAAAAAGAUAAUUAUUAGAAAAAUCAAUUCAAUAUUUUUAACACUAGUAUUUUUUUAAUGGAACAGGAGGGGUUAGGACCCCUACUGGUUAUAUAUUCAGGAAAAAGGAGUCUUUUACAGAGGAAAAAGGAGAAAAAGGAAAAUUACAACAGAUUGUCAAGCCAUUCUGUGAUUCUAGGGAAAGACUUCUUUUUUUGCUCGAUGGAUAACCAUAGAAAAUUCAUACUUGAAAAUGUUUCUGCAACUCUCAACUGAAACUUGUUGUUGCCUGGAGAUUGCAUUGUUCCUUGUUGUCCAGAAUAUGUGGAACAGCACCGCAUCAUCAUGAAUAGUGAAAAAUGUAAUAUUUACUAAAAUGAUGAAACCACCUCACAUCUGACCUUAAGUGGAUUAUUUUAAUAGGUCACUGAAUGGAGAUUUAGCAGAGUAAAAACUACAAACUACACUUAGCUAAUACCAUCUCAUUUAUGAGCACAAUGAGCCAGGGUUCAAAAUGAAUUUCAUACUUGAGAACUGUUGCAAACUGUACACAAUGUCUUUAAAGAAAUUAUCAACACCAUCUGAAAAGUAUAAGUUGUAAAUCUUACAGAUCUGAUAAAUUACUGAGGCUCCCAAUGUAAUCUGGUAUUUGCCCAGUAAAAUCAUUAUCUGAUGCCCACCUAAUCACAAAUAAGAAUAACGCAUAAGGUUAAAUGAAUAAUACUGUUGACAAAACGUCUUUUAUAGGCAUACAAUGUUUUCAGGCUUGUAAGCUUAGAAAAUGAUGGUGGUAGUGGACCACUUAAGCCAGAGCUGUCAAUAUAUCUGCAAAACAGAAAUAAAAGAAUAAGAAUGUUAACAUGGUUUGGUAGAAGAAAAGGUAAGGACCACAGGGUGCCCAAAAUUAAUCAAAAUACGCACAGUUGCUCAAGUUUAACCAUGUUACCCAGUUCGGGAGGAAGGGAUCCAUUUAAGUUGUUUAUGCUUAUGCCCCUGAAAUCCCAAAAAAAAUGUCAGGUUAGUAGCAAAAGAUUUGUGACAGGAAACUUUCUUAUCUUUCGAAGGAUGAAUACUUUUCCCGACAGAGGUCAACUAGUAGAAGGAAUGAAGGUGUGUUUUUUCUAUAAGCAUGAUGUCGAUAGCAUGUAUUCUCAACUUAAACUGUUCUUUAUUUGUUGAUUCUUACACAUUUAAAUAAAUUCAUAGGUACGUGUACAAAGCCAAGUCGAGAUUUAUAAAACUUUGUAGUUUGGACAUUAGCAAAGAUUUCUACUGAAAUAGGACCAUGAAACAGAGAAGGUAAAUUUCUUACAGCGCUAUGAGAUUCACAAGCUUCCCAAGCUCCUUUGGAACAGAUCCAGAUAAUGCAUUCAUUGCAAGACUCCUUGUAUGUUCAAGGGAGAUAGUUUAAGUUUCAAUGUUACCCAAAACAUGCGAUGUAGUAAUGUUAGGUUCUAAAUCUCACAAGUAUUGCAAAGCAGUCAGUUCCCCAAGGAACGAUGGUAUAGGCCCUGUUAAGUAAUUUUGCAUUAAGUUCCUAAAAAACGUCAGAUCAGAUCAGAUGUAAACGAAAAAGGAUGGCUCUCAGUAGGUAUUAUAUUUAAAGAAAUUUUGAGCUUGAUGUGGGAGGCUACUACAAAGCAAUCCGCUGCUAUGAUAAUAUGAUAUGCCGUGGAACUGCGGGAAAUGACAAAGUCCACCAAUAAAUUGCGACUAAACAAUCUUAAUAUACACUUGGGAUACUUUGGCUCACUGACGAUUUCAAGAAAGUUGAGAAUUCAUACAAACUGGUCAAGUGCGUGAGGUUCCUCAGCUCUUCUGGUAUAGGACCUGCCAGAUUCAAUGCGUACAUUUUCCUGCAGCAAUAACAGUGAAGCACCCAUCAGCUCGCACCAUCUCAAUUUAGCCUUCAUGGAUGUUCGUCGUCAGACAAACACCACCAGGUUAUGGAGCGCCGUCAAAUAACCGCACAAGCAAUAGUUGCAGAGAUAAGGACGAUGCACUAGCCUGCCACACUCUGAGUGCACGAACUGCCACCUCAGGUGGGCAAAUUAGAGCUGAUGGUGGGCGUACGGAUAGGAAGCGUGAGACACUUACAGCCUGGUGAUGUGGCAGACGGUGUUGUUCUGGUACGUGCAGUCGCAUUUGAUUCCCGGGUUCAUUUUUGGGUCAUUGUCGACGUCGGUGUCGUCCGUGGCCGCGCCGGCGCAAGGGUCGACGCCGCUGAACCAAGAUGGCCACAGUCUGCUCCCGAGUUUGUCAAACACCCCCUUCAGCGCAUCCGCUGCGAAUGAGACACAAACACGAAAACGCGAUCAAACAUCCUGCCCCUCGGCAGUCCGAGAAAAUUUUGCAAUAUGCUCCUAUGGUUUAAGAUAUUUAGACCCUGACUAUAACUUUUUGCAGGCCGAGAGCUUGCAUUGUGUGGCCGAGGGGGAUUGAUUUGUUUAGUAUUCAUGUGCUCUAAUGGUCGAGAGUAUUUUGGUGUUACAUAGCUGAUCUCCGAGAGUGAACAUGAUUUCCAGAGAAGCAAUCACCGACUAACCUUUACCGACCACAGAGAAUAUAUAAAAUAACAGAUCACCGCCAGGCACUCAACGCGUACUCUAGGCAAAAGUGGUGAAUCUAGUAGUGUACAGUGAUAGCUAGUCUUAAGCUUGUAAAACAUAAAAAGCAUUAUAAGUACCCUAAAAGCUUGGUGACAUAGUAACUUAUUUCUUUUUUAAUAAAAAAAUAUAUAUCUAGUAGGAAUCUUAGCCCCCACCUGUUCCUAAAAAAGUACCAAGACUCUAGCAGUCCUACCUCGGGGCUUUCUUAUUUUACAACAAAAAAAAAGGCAAUGGGGGUACUAAUACUAUGCAGCAAGAGGUGAGAACAAGAUGACAUGAAGAUGCACAAAAAUAUUUGUGCUCGAGAUGAAAUCUGUCCUGCCCUGCAAUGGACGAUUCCACUCUUUCACAACCAAAAUUUAUGCUCGAACAAGAUGCUUUUACCUUUACUAUCGGUUUCAUGACUACACGCACGCCGGCCUACAUGUUGCCAGCACAGCACAUGCGCCAACCUGUUUUGUUACGCCAUCUCAGCCCAGCCAGGUCUGUGUCAGGCAAGCAGCACGAACAUGUUUCUAUGUUUAGUAUCGAUUCCCUUUGUUUCAAAAUAUAGUUCAAUUUAGAUUUAUCCUCAAUCAAAUUUCUAUAAAUUUGAUAGGCAUCAGCAUCUACAACAUCAAAUUAGUUUCAGUGAAUCCACCAUGAAAUAUCUAUUUCAUGAUAGUGUAUUUUAUUUGGUAUUUUUUGACGAAGUCAGCAGGAAAGCCUCAACCUAUUUUUUUAAUUUUUUAUUCUAGAUCUGUUUAAUUCGCUUCCAAGGGGAGUCGAACUCGAACUCAGGUCUGCUGGAUACUGUUCAGGUGCUCUAACCACUAGGCUAGAUGCACUUUCACUAUUUUAUUUGGUAUUGUAGAUGUUAUUAUAUUUUUUUAUAAACUUAAUCAAAAUUAGAGGAAGUUUGAUUUAGUGAACUGAGCGUAGCUCAGCUGGUAAGGUCCCUUGUGGUGGAACCUGCUCAGUGGUAGGUGAUGCGCCCAUUGAUAGCGAGACGUCAGCGGUGACUUCAUCAAUCUCGAGGAUUUACCAGUUCAUUUUUCGGAGGUGCUCAUAGGGGUAAGGUUGCGUGCGUGUAUUCGUAGGGGCGAGUGUGCGUACAUGUAUAUGAGCGUCUACGUCUGUACUUAUGAUUCGCACUUAUGAUUCGCAGUAAAAAAGAGAAAGUUUGAUUUAGAAAAAACUAAUGAACUAUAUUUUAGAAUGGACUAAGUAAUCAAUUAGGUGCUGAUUUAUUUUUUUAAGACGUACAUAUGAGAAAGUUACCUAUCAAAUUAUUCUUACUAUAUUUGGUCAUUUAAAGACGACUCGUCAUGCUAGAUGACCGGAAGGAGUAGUAAAGAAUUAGUCUUAGACGACUCCACCGGAGACAGGCAAUGAAAACGACAACUAGCAAGUAACUACCACGACAAGCAGCCAUAAGGUGGUUGAAACUGCACAACAAGUCAACAACUAGCUCUCUAAGGAAGGUUGAUUUUUAGGGCAGUUCCAAAUCAUAGUUUCUAUGGGUAGUUUUUAUGUUCACAUAUCAUCAAGAUGCCACUUGUAGAUCUAAUCUCCCCAACCUAUAAUUUCUAUGGGUAGUUUCUACGUAUGAUUUCACGCAAGCAGCACAAACAAAGCUCGGUCAGCUGUGGCAAGCAACCGCGUAGCCUUCAUGCUGCCACAGUCCGAGCCAUUGAAAUUAAAAUAAAUUCAUUCGCAGCUGCUAUAAGAUCGAUCAACCUGGAAAGAGCCGCCAAGAGACGAUGCAGGCCAAAAUGCAGGAGCGAGAUGAGCGCUGGUUCGAUCAGUGCCUGGACAAAGUGCCAAAGUGGCGCUAGAAGCAACGGACGGAGAACUAGCGCCUGGAGAAAGCAACAGCAGCAGCACCAACAACUCGUCUGGAACUUGAAGAGGGCUUCCUCGAUUUCUUUUGAUGUACGCCUUUCUUCUCCAAUCGAUCCUUAGAAGCGGCGCGUGGGGAAUUGCUGGCGGAGGCUUGGUGCGCGGCCGCGCACGGGGGUGGCCAGCGGCGUCAGGCGGACACAAGCGCCGGAAAUUGGCACGCGCGAGCGAGGGAGGGGAUGGCCCGCGGCGCGCGCGUGAGGGAGGGUCGCGACGCGGCAGUAGCAGGCGCGCACGGAGCCUGGGGGUGGGUCGCGGCGCACAGCGGAUCGGGAAGAUGCGCAAGAAAACGAGGAAGAAAACCGUAACGCUGGCCCAACGCGAUUUCGGCGGUAUCUACGCACUUGAUUCGCGAGCUGACUCGGUUUCUAACAUGAGAAAAACAACGAUAUCUCGCUCUUUCUUCGUUAAACCACCUGCCACGUCAUUAGCCCCCUUUGUCACGGCUCCUUGAGGAGCUUCUCCACCGGCUUCUCAAGGAGCCGUGUCAAACACUUUCUUCAAAACAGCUUCUCCGGCGAAGCUGCCUAAAAAUCUGUUGAGAGGAGCAAAACGAGCAGGCGGAGCUAGGAAAAUGAGCUCCCCGCGGCUCCCUCAUCCAUCCUGCACCAUUCGGUACCAUAAUACCCCUGGAGUUUGCCGAAUUUACACCCAUUUUACCACUGUCUUCUUUUCUCUCUCUCCCCUAUCGCCCAUUCGUGGAGGAACGACGGGCGGCGACUAGCAGCGGGAGGUUCAAGCACCAGGAGGUGUGGCAGAGGUGGCCGGCAGUGGUACGCGGAAGCGGUGGCGGUGGCGGCUGGCAGCUGUAGGCAGCGCGGGCCAGGGAGAAAGAGAGGAGGAAAAUAGAAAGGCAGCUGGCAGCACGCGUGGUGGCCAGAGAAGGAGGCUAGGGGGGUGGCCGGAGAAGGAAGCCAUGGGAGCGCGGCACGCCGGAGAAGGUGAUGACAGGCUGAUCUGGUGCAGGGAGGUGCAGGGUCGCGAUGCGGUAGUAGUAGGCAUGCACGGAGCCUGGGGGUGGGUCGCGGCGCACAGCGCAUCGGGAAGAUGGGCAAGAAAACGAGGAAGGAAACCAUAACACUGGCCCAACGCGAUACCGGCGGUAUCUAUGCACUUUGGUGCGCGAGCCGACUCAGUUUCUCACCUGAGAAAAGCGAUUUCUUACUCUUUCUUCUUCCCUGUUUGGUUCCUUUAGUGCAUAGACUGGACUAAACUUUAGUCCCACCCCUGUUUGGUUCCAUGGACUAAGGGAGUGUUUGGCUCCCAGGGGUCAAACUUUAGCCCCUGUCACAUCGGAUGUUUGGAUACUAAUUAGGAGUAUUAAACAUAGGCUAAUUACAAAACUAAUUGCACAGAUGGAGGCUAAUUCGCGAGACAAAUCUAUUAACCUUAAGUCCAUGAUUUGAUAAUGUGGUGCUACAGUAACCAUUUGCUAAUGAUGAGUUAAUUAGGCUUAAUAGAUUCAUCUCGCGAAUUAGCCCAGGGCUUCUCUAAUUAGUUUUAUAAUUAACUCAUGUUUAGUCCUCCUAAUUAGCAUCCGAAUAUUUGAUGUGACAAAGGCUAAAGUUUAGCCCCUAGUAUCCAAACAGCACCUAAAAUGGACUAAAGUUCAAAAAUACUGUUAAACAAAGACCCUUUUACUCUUCUUCCCUACCCUCUUGGUAUCCCUGCGUCUACUCCUCCUCACACGGGAACUCCAACUACCGCUGGUUGAAGCUUCUCCAUCUCCAGCGCCAGUGGAGCACCGCUCGAGCAUGCCCAACCUACCCCGCCACAUGCGAACUCCCGCGCGGUGCAGGCAAGAUCCUUUGUGUGCCGGCGAGCAGUGGAGCGAGCAGAGGAUUGGCCCGAAUGGGGGAGCCUCGAAUCAGCGACAAGAUGGAGGCUCAUCGAUUCGGCCACAAGGUGAGCUCAAGGGGGCGUCGCGUUGAUUUGGACGCUGGGGAGGCUCGAUGGGGUGGCAAUGUGUCGAUUUGACCGUCGGAGGACCCCGAGGGGGUGGCGGCAGUCCUUCUCAUCGCCUCUCCCCCAUGGCGGGCUAGCACCAUCGUACAUUGAAGCUCCGCCAGCCUAGCUGCAGGGCAAGCGAGCUUCGAUAGUGCGGCCACGGUACGGUCGAGCGCCACCGCGUAGGUGAGGGCAGCAGUGGGCCGGCGGCGAGGGGAGGGGAGCAGCGGUGGGUAGGCACGAGCGGAGGAGCAGCGGCCGGACGUGGGGAGAGCGGCGGCGUGGGGAGGUGAGCAGGAGGGAGGCGGGUGGUGAUGGCAGCGGGCGGCGACGACAACGAGUGGGAGGGAGGCCAGGUGGGAGGGAGGCGGCGGGCGGGAGGGAGCCGGGUGGGAAGGAGGGCAGUAAAUGAGGGGUAGGGGUGUCCCAACACCCUUUAGUCCAGUUUUGUGGAUUAGAGGACUAAAGCCUUUUGUUCAAACUUUAGUCCACUGUUUGGGUGUUUAGGGACUAAAAGUGCACCAAAACUUUAGUCUAUGAGAACCAAACACCCCCUGAAUCACCUCCCACAUCAUUAGAUUGCUGAGAUGGUAACACCCCCUGAAUCACCUUCCACAUCAUUAGAUUGCUAAGAUGGUACUGUAUUGAAUGAUAUAGAAAUUGGGUGACUUGAAGGUUGGGAAUGCCCUUAAUAUUUUCUCACUUGGAUCCCAAUUUCAUCUCGUGGGCUUGCUCUGUUAAGUUUCCUCUCGUGCGGUUGAAACAGCUUUGGUUGUGGCUUCUCUGAUGGAGCGGUUUUUUUAGCUCUAGUUUGCUUGAUUGGAAAAACGUUUGGCAAAACAGCUUCUCUUGAUUGUUUUAAAUGGAUAAAAAUGUGAAAUGUCCAUACUACACUUACCUUUUUUUUCUUUUCUAUUUCUUUUCUUUUUUUUCAUUUUCCUUCCUCUUUUAUUGCUUUUUCCUCCACGGUUCCAACCGUUUCUCUCUGCCUACCUUAUCCUUUCACUCCAUCCCAGCGCCAAUGCCCGCGCAUGCUGAUGCGCCUCCAUCCUCAGGCCCUACCGCGCCUAGGGGCAAACUGGAGACUUCGGCCUUGCGGAUGGGACGAAGCUGCGGGGAGCCAAUUUUUUUUGGCUUCUCCUCCACCCUUAGCUCCUCUCAGCGCGAAUUGGGGGCUCCAUCGGUGGAGCCGUUUCGUUCUUCCCCGUUUGGCAGCUAGGGCUGCUCAAGAAGCCCUGUCCAAGAGGACCUUAUUCGUAGGCAAAACAUGAACGAAGUCAAAAGGCCAAAAAUCAUAACAUCAUACCAUUAAACGCACCCCUGUUGCCCUUCUACCCCAAACAUUUGGAACGAGAUAGUUUCUUGGACGAAUCGGGCAGAUGAUUCUCUAGAACAGAUCAGGGAUGACUUGCCUUGCCUUGCCGGGCAGAUGAUUCUUGGAAGAAAAUUACCGUGCCUUGCCAGGCUCGUGCCGGACCCUACUGGACCGCUCGUUUGGACAUCUAUAGCCAAGUGUGAAUUUUAUGGUGGGCAAGCAAAAGGCCAAACACGAUAUCGAUGGAUUGAUGCAAGCUGAUUUGAAACCCCCUCGCUAAUUUGAAAGAAAUAAGACAUGCACGCUUACCUUCAACCGGAUCGGUCCUUGUCCUCGCUUGCUGAGCUUGCGCAGAUGCAGCUAGAAGAAGCAGCAGCAGCAGCAACGUCGGGAGCGCAGCAGAGCCAUGGCGGCACGAACUGCUGGGUCCAGGCCUCCUCAUCUCCUUCCCCUCUCUCUGGCCUCGAGGUCGGGGUUGGCUACCCCUUCCGAGGCCGAGCGGGAUAUAUGGUGACCUGAUGGAGACUCUUAUGGCGAUUAGCUUGUCUCAGGGCCCCGCCGCCGCGGCAGACACGUACAGCUCCCUCGACGCUGCGCCACCAUGCAAGGACGGCGCAAUUAGGGAAUUUUCUAUGGUCAAGUGGCGCCACUGCUAUGUCGAACGCGACGGGCCAACAACUACCUCCAGGCUCCCACAUGGAAGCAGAGCCGAAGGCGAUCGACGACGACGGCUGACCGUGUUGUUCUGUGCGAGGAGACUUGCAGCUUGGUGACGUGGCAGACGGUCGCCGCUGAUGUUCCAUGCCGACGCCGCCGUUUAGCACUUUCAUUAAAUAUUUUACAUAUAUUCAAUAAUGUGGUGAAAUUGUGUUUUCUAUGAAGGCUUGUGAACUUGAUAUUACAAAUAUUAUAUAAUUCCAUCAUAUGCGUUACACUAAAGAACCAGAAGCACAGGAAUCAAUGGGUGAUAUUGCUCCACCUCGAGUGCAGAGUGGGAGUGAACUUACAUGUUCCAAAAUAUAAACAAUAUAAACUCUUGUUACGCUGCUGGAGAGGAGGCAUCGCUGGAGUCGCACUUCGCCUUGUUGGACACGCAUCACCCCUCUACUCUGUAUGGGUCUCUUUUGCGCAACUCCUGCUGGCUCCAGCUCCAUUACUGUAGCACACUAUAGUUUAUUGUAGUGCGUGCCGGAUCUGGAGUUGGGGGAGCAAUUUUUUCUAGAUUCACCGGCUCCUCCUCCAUAACUGUAGUGCAAUGUAGCUAAUCGUAGCGCAUAUCAGAUAUGGAUUUUGGCUCCUCCUCCAUAACUGUAGUGCAAUGUAGCUAAUCGUAGCGCAUAUCAGAUAUGGAUUUUGACUCUUCACUGCAGUACAACAUAAUAGUGAUACAAGUAGCGUGACACAGGAGACAAGAGCUGUGAGGGAGCGGUGCCAAAGGGGUCAUACGGGUGUCUUCCUCUAUUUUCUUUGCGACGGGAAGAGGUAAACAUACGGGUGGGGCAUCAAGCUAAGUGCACGAGAUUGUGCUCAGAGAAAAUCUUGCUGCUUCUUUUUUUAAUCAUAGAUCGGGUUGGCAUCGUCCUGUCGUUCUGUCAUAAAUCAUAUAUAUAGAUCCGGAUAGACCAAACCCUCCAACAUCAUCAUUUGGUCCUGGGCUCAAAAAAUCAAACCAAAACUUGACCCGAAAAAGAAAAUCGAUCUAAGACGGGCGAAGCAACAAUCGAUCAGAGCACAUAACCUAACACAAAAUACGUGCAAAAGCUGAAUAUAUAUCCUCAGAACGUUUGUGACGUGCAUUUACAGAAAACUGUCCGUCAACUUGCAAAUCACCGGCCUUCUUCUCGGAGCUGUUAGAGGUUUAGGCAUUUUACGGCAUAUUUUAAUUCCGAAUAUUUUUAAGUAAAUUAUGGUCAUUGUGAGUGAUACAGACCGUGUGCAAGUGUUUUGUUUAAAACACGUUUGAACGUAAACAGAACCAAAAGAAAGAACCAGAUAAGGUUCAAUAUGUACCCAGGGGCGGGAUCAUUGCUGAAGGCAAUGGGUGCGCCGUUCCUAGAACUGGAUGCAUCAGACAUUGUGUCUAAAAUGUCGGUUCGAGCUGUUCGAUGUAGUUGAUCAAAGUUGAUGCAGUGUUGAGUUGGUGCAGAGCAGUCCCUUGAACGGCCUCCAGGAUGUAGCAUGACGCGCAGAAGAUGCGCUUCCCCAAAACUUGAUUGCCUGCCUACUCGUGCAAGUGUCGCAGCAGGAUGAAGUUUCGGAGACCUGCGCGUAGAGGCUCGCGAUGGGAAUGUCAAGAUAGCAGCGGGCAACAGCAAAAAAAAGGGGAGAGACGCGUGCGCGGCUCGACGAGGCGAGCAAGCGCACGCGCGGCACCCUUUCUCUCUUCCUCAACUUCUCAAUUAGUGCACACAUAGUCCAUCUAUUUUAGUUAGUUAAGAUACUCUUAACUAUCCAGCUAGAAUUAACCACUUUAUCCAUCUAGCAUUACACGUGGAUCCUGAGAUUAAAUGAAUUAAAUCGGCCUAACCUGAAUAUUCAACAGGAGCUAGCUAAUGAACGGCGAAGAGGUGUGCGACGAGGUGGCCCUUGGGGCCAAGCUCGACUGCCCGCUCAUAUUACUGCUCAUGAAGCUGCUGGUGUUGCCUCCCUUGAUCUGCCAUUCGGUGAUGUAGCUGGGCUUGUUCACCACCUCGCCCACCUCCACGUCGUCCCCGGCCAGCAUCGACACAGCCCGAGACAUGGACGGCCGCUGGUGGGGCGAGCCCUGGGUGCAGAGCAGGGCCACGUGGAUGGCACGGAGCACCUCGUUGCUGUUGAAGUCAGCAAUACAGUUGCCAAACCUGAAAGCACAGAAAAUUAUCUAGAAAUGCUAAGAUGCCAGGCUAGCGUGACAUGUGUUUAGGGACGUUUCAUUUACCAAAUAUAAUCUCGUAGUAAUAAUUUAUAGACGGGAUUAAAAUCAUUGGUGAGUUGUAUGGUAAUAAUAAGUAUAUCGGUGAAUGAGUAUUCUUUUUUAGUCAACGGGGGGAGUGCCCCACCUGAUUCAUUAUAGACCAGCACGCUAGCACGCUUCCAUUAUUGGUGAGUUGUAUGGCAAUAAUAAGUAUAAGCCCCCUGCUCUUUUGGCUAGCACGCUUGCUCCCACCCAACAAGACAUUGAGCUCCACUAACUGUAUCUUCCCCGGACCACAGGAAACGUCAUCGUCGGCAAUUGAGAGCGUCAAUGUUCCCUGGGGGCAGAAGGAGCACUGACAUAGCGUAGGUAAGCUGGCUGUCCAUGACGCUAUUGAUCAGCACUGCAUGGCCCAUUGGAUUCAGUAGGGAGGCGUGCCAGCCGCUGAGAUGCCUGUCCGCUCUAGUGAUCAGAGGGCUGAACACGGACAGACGUAGCUUCUCGUGGGACAGUGGCAGCCCCAGGUAGGUUUGGGGGAAGCUGCCAAGUUGGCACCCAAGAAUACUCUGAAGCGCCGUGGUAGUCGAGCUGGAAGUGUUCAUUGGCAUCAUGGUACUCUUGUUGAAAUUGAUGUGCAGCCCCGUGGCCUCGCAGAACAGAUCAAGCACCUGCUUCAGCGCCACCAGCCCGUCUUGAUCUGCCUUGAGGAGGAUGAGAGUGUCAUCGGCAUAUUGGAGCAUGGGGCACGGCUUCCCCGAGGCGGCAGGGUGUGAAAUCCUCUGGUCGAGCUUGAUCAUCUGCUGAAGGACGUCAGCGACCAGAAGGAAUAGGUAGGGGGAUAGUGGAUCCCCCUGCCGUAGGCCUCUUCCACAGGCGAACCACGGGCCAGGAACACCAUUGACAAAGACAACAAGCUUCAAGGUUUGCAACAUGCUCGUGAUCCAGUUGCACCAGAGGGGCGGGAAGCCUCGCGCAUCCAUGAUGGCGUUGAGACUGAGCCAAUCCACGGAGUCGAAGGCUUUGGCGAAAUCAAGCUUCAGAACCAGGGUGGGUAGCUUGCGGCAGUGGCAGCACUGGACGAGCUCCAUCGCGUAGAUGAAGUUCUCAGAGAUCGAGUGCCCCUUGAUGAAUCCUGUCUGGUCUGGAUCGAUGAGGCGGGGGAUCUAGUGUUGCAGCCACGUCGUCAGCAUCUUAGAGAUGAUCUUCAAGGAGCAAUUUUGCAGGCAGAUUGGGCGGUAGUCCCCCGGCGUUGUGGCGGCGGCAUGUUUGGAGAUCAUGACAAUGUAUGAGCGAUUCAGAUGCUCAAGCUCCGCAGUACCUGCCUGGAACGCCCAGGCCAGCUCCAUGACCGUCGGCACCACCGUGGACCAUGCCGCAGCGUAGAAAGCUGGCCCGAAGCCAUCCGGUCCAAGAGAGCUAGACCGGUUCAUCGAGCACACCGCGAUGCGCGCUUCUAGCUCCAUGAACGGCGCCAGCAGAGUCGCCUCGUCCACCCUUUCUGAUUCGGCGUAGAGGGCCGCGACGCCGAUGGAGUCCGAAGCUGCCGUGUUCACGCGCAGGAGCCCUUGGUGGUGAGAGGUCAGCGCGGCUGUCUUGUCCUGGUGCGAGGACACCACGACGCCGUCCACCUCUAGGGCCCGGAUGUUGUUGCAGUGCAGGCGCUGAGUGGCCUGCGCAUGGAAGAAGCGGGUGUUCGCGUCGCCUUCCUGGAUGGCGUGGUGUUUCCCGCGCUGCUUCCAGUAGGCCGCGCGUUCGCGCAGGACCAGCACAAGGUGGUCCUGGCAGUCGCGGCGUAAGAGAUGUUCACCUGCAGAAAGACAACGGCCUUCCUCAAGCACAUCAUGAAGAUAUAUCACAAACUUGCAAUUAGGGAGAAGGAUGGGAGGAACGCUCUUACGUCGCGCCCAAGCCUUGGACGCGCACCGAACUGCUUUGAGCGAGCCAACAAUGGCCGCAGCCACGCCGUGCGUCGAGCCUCUGAGCCAGGCCGGGAGCACCGCGGGUAGGAAGUCGCUGUGUUUGAGCCAGGCGUUCUCAAAGCGGAACAGGUUUGCUUUUGGGAUGGUGGUGAACAUGGGGAGCUGAAUUGGCGUGUGAUCAGAGGUUGGCUUGGGCAAAGAGUAGAGGGAGGAGUUGGGGAAGGAUAGGCUCAUAGGGACGUUGAAGAAGACACGGUCGAGGUGGGUGAGAGUGGGAGUGCUACGGUGAUUGGACCAAGUGAAGAGGUGGUCUAGAAGAGGGAGAUCGAUGAGACCAAGAUGAUCAAUGGUGAAAUUGAACGCUACACUGAGAGAGGCAUUGGCAGAGCCGUUGCUAUUUUCCUCGCCCCCACGGGUGAGGUUGAAGUCGCCAGCAAGCGCCCAACUCCCUGGAACGUGACCGGCGAUCUCCUCCAGAUUCUCCAGGAAGGGCAGAGAGUCGGGGUGAUCAGCCGGAGCAUAGACGUUGGUGACGGCGAAGGUGUAGUCAGAGGCUGUGGACGAGAGGAACGUCGUGAGGGUGUGCUGCCUGAUGAUACAGGAGGUGAGGGUGAACGCAGUGGAGUCCCAGGCAGUCACCAUGCCGCCGCGGGUUUCAUUGGAGUCGACACAGCGAAAAGCAUCGAGGUUGACGGGAAGGAAGGAACGAGCUCUCAGGCUGUCGAUGGCCCUGAGCUUCGUCUCCUGAAGGCACACAUUGUUAGAACGAGCAGAAGUUAGCGUGUCGCGAACAAUCGUGCACUUGUUCUUGUCCCCAAGCCCACGGACGUUCCAAGAGAGAAGAGAGAAGGAGACAGUGCUAGAGUUCAUUGGUCCAGGAACAACACCAAAUCGCCCCUGCGGAACACACCACAGGAGGGAGACAGAAGCGCGUGGUACAGGAGGGAUAUUAUCUUAAGAACGUGAGGACAUUAUUGCUGACAGCAACCUCAAACUGAGAGGCGCCUCCCAGGAAAAGAAACAAAGCGAAAGGCAAGAACAAACUUAAUUACAAAUAUACAAUCGAGCUAAUCAGAUAGAACACCUCGAAAAUUAUCUUUUUUUAUCGCAGGAGCGCUGAAUAGGACUUACCUUCAGUUGGAUCUGUCCUCGCAGCUGGUGCUUGCUGAGCUUUGGCCGACGCAGCUAGGAGAAGCAACGCGGAGAGCACGUAGCCACGGAGGGAAGAACUCCGUGCUAACCUCAUCUCCCUCCCUCGGUCUGCUGUCGCUUAGCUUGGAGCCUUGGACCUUGGGACGCUAGCCUUCUUUAAUAUUGAGGGAGAUUUCACAACGAUCCAGUCUUUUAGAAAUGGACAUGUUUACUUCAACUGGAACCUCUGCUGUCUAAGGAAAGGUGCACGAAACUUCAAGUUCUAUAGGAGAAACUCAUCAGCAUAUAUAAUAGUGAAAGAAAGUCAACCAAGGUGAUUGAGGGACAGAAGAUACUUGAAGCCAACAAGGGACAGAAGAGAAGUCGAUCAUAUUGCAAACAGAGAUAUAUGUCUCGUCCAGGGUCCCCAAAAAAGGCAACCACUGACAUUUGCAACAAAAUAACUUAUGUGGCGCAAUGUCAGAUUCAAAGUGACUAAUGAAGGGUUUAUGCAAUUUUACUUUUAAUCAUUCAUUGAUUCAAGACUUUCAUGUUCCAGAUUUCUCGGAAUGAAAUGUUUGUGAUGGAUAGCUUGUAGGAAUUCGAACCAAUUCAACAAAGUAAUCAUGGUGACGGGUGCCUAGACUAGAGGUACUCUCAAAGCAGCAGCACCUCAUGCACUUCUUCCAAUGGAGAGCUGCCGAUUAUAUUAAAAAUAAGAAAACAAAUAGCGCCGACUCAACGUGGAACCAACGUGUUCUCUCGUACACCCCGGAAUCAGGAGAAGCAUAUAUCUGGUUCACCCAAGGUUUCUCCGAUCCAGAGAAAAAGCAGAGAUGAGAUUGCGAUAGCAAAGGCUGCUGCUAUCAGAACGUACGUGCAGGGACGAACAUCUCGCGAGAAGCUUUUUCUAUCUCAGUAAAAGAAAAAUAAUUCGGGACGGACUGGACAUACCUUUCAGUUGGAUCUGUCCUUGUUGUUGGUGCUUGCUGAGCUUUGGCCGAUGCAGCUAGAAGCAACAGCACGGAGAGCACGGAGCCACGGAGGGAACUAGUCCAUUUUAACCUCAUUUCCCUCUUCGUAACUGCUCUCGCUUAGCUUGGCCGUGGCCCUUCCGAGGAAAGCAAUCUUGUUCCGUGUCCAAAAAUCUGCUGAUUCAUCAUCAUAGAAGGAAAUCAAAGCAAAUAAAGCAGCAGUCAAAGGCACACGACUGACUGGGGAUACGCGGUCGUUUGGCAACAUUAGUACUGAAGACGACUGCAUGACUGACUGACAUUUUCAAGCUUUGGAUUCAUCCACUCGAACCAUUCAAGACUGUCAUGGUCUAGAUAAUUAAGGCGAUUUCCCAGGAUGGGAUGUUUGCUAUGGACAGAAGCUGGAACAAUUCAACGAAGUAAUAAUAAAGGCCAACCACUUCCGAUACUGACACAUAUACAUCUCAGAGUUCUAACUUUCGCCGUGCGGCUGCUUUUGGUCUGAAGUGUCAACUACUAGUUCGCACAUGCAUAAUCAGUCCAGUUUACACCACGGGAAAUCAAUUUCAUGAAGAUGAAAAAACUACUAGGUACUUCUUCCGUUUCAAAAUGUUCGGUUUUUAAACUUUUUAGAUACAUAAAUUUUGCUAUGCACCUAAAUAAUUGAGGUAAAAAUGAUUGUUAAGUAGCAAUGGGUACUUCCACCACGUACUUUUUUAAAAAAAAUUACACUGUUGAUCCAAGUAAUGUAAUUAAAAAAUAAAUUAAAUUAGUACCGGUCCCACUGUUUUUGUACUUGGUCUCCACCUAUUUGGUACUUCUUGUUACUUUUCUCUAGAUACCUCUAGGUACUUUCUACCUUUCCACCGCACGAUUUUUCUGGAUGGACGGCUCUUAUUUUUUCCAAUUAUUGAAAAUAUUUUCAUCAACAAAACCAAAACGACCUACAUUUUGAAAUAAAGGGAGUAACUAAUAGUCUAAUACCUUAGCAUUGACAAGGGCUUGUUCAACGAGAGUGGAACGACAUAGACACAAUCUCCUUGCAUUUAUCGAAAAUUUAGCAUUUUUUCCCUUCUGUUCUGCUGAAGAAUUUGGCCUAAUCCUAUGAACCCAGGCAAGUGCCUACGGAGAGAAUUUGAUGCCAGGUCCGCCAUUGGAUCAAAGUAGGCACGGCAAUGGAAUAAUGGAUAAUAACCGUCAUAUGCAGUGAUAUAAGGCUUAUAAUCCACUAUGCAAAACUAACAAUCAGGGCACCAACUGUGAAGUGUGUAUCUACACACAACGUAUUCCGUGGAUAUGGCUGCUAGGGGGGCGAGCCUUGGGUGCGAAAGAGGGCCAUUUGGAUGGUGCACCUAACGAAUCUUACACACAUCCAAAUCUUCAAAGUGCAUCCACACCAAAUAAUAUAAUCCGUUGCUUGACAGAAGCUUAUUUGAAUCUGAUGAUCAUUGACCAUCAUCACCGGCCUUCCUCGAUGAGGGAGCUCAGGUACGACGAUGUCGAUGCCGACAUGCCGACCACCUCCCUCUUGCUCGAGCUCGCCUGCCACUCGGUGACGUAGCUGGGCUUCGUGACUGCCUCUGGCACUUCGAUGUCUUCUGUGAGCAUGGACACCACCUUUGACAUGGAUGGCCGCUGCCGAGGUGAGCUCUGGAUGCAGAGGAGGCCGACGCGGAUGGCACGGAGAACCUCGUCGCUGACGAAUUCCAUGAGACUCGGGUCCACGACGUCGAGAGGACGGCCUUCCUCGUACAAUUGCCAGACCUGAAAGCGUAGGGCUCAUGCAUGUAGGAGAACUUCACUGUUGUAGGAAUGCAACAAACUAUUUUUUUUCAUAUGAUUCCAAAUUCUAAGAUCCACAUAAUGCUGCCAUUUUAAAAUUUAACACGCUGUGUCAGCUGCUUAGAUGCUAACAAGGUCUUAUAAGUGACACCAUAUGCAUGACUAGCAAUUUCUACGAAAAAUGUAUUUGUCUCAAAUAAAUAGCAUUUUUAUGUUGAAUUUAGUAUAUGAACAACUUUUAAAUUUUUAUGUUGUUAAUCUAAAUAAUUCUUCAUGUAGUGCUGCGCAAAGCUAAAACUGCUGCACAUUUUAGAAGAGGGACACUGGAGCAUAGAUCUUUAGAUCAAUAACUUAUAUUCUGUGUCCGAGGGAGUAACAAAACUUUCCCUCUUCUAAACAAGUGCCUAUCAACAACUAGCAUUCUGUACAUAGCUUAUUUAUUUGACUGCAUCUCUUUUUAUAUAAUUCAAUGAUGUCAAAAUUAUGGUUAAGUUUUUGAAUAAAAAAUCUUAUGAACGCACAUGAGCUUUAAUUUUUAUGUUAUAUAAGUGCCUAUCAUAUAUAUAUAUAUUCCCAGUUACCACAUGAAAAACUGCAAUUUGACCUGGGUCUAAAUUUUGUAGUGACUUUACCCAUUCUAAAAGAUAGGCGCUGUCUUCGUCAAGCCUAUCAUCAUAGUUUGGCCUUCCAGCUAUUGUUUCCAAUAUGACCACGCCAAAAGCAAAUACAUCAACUUUCUCCGUUACAUGACCUCUCAUGGCGUACUCAGGUGCUAGAUAACCACUUGAAAGAAGAGCAGAAAAAUAAUGUUAUUAGCUCACAGAUUAAUCAAACUAAAGUAUAAACUUUCUGCAAUUGUAUAAAGGUGCACUCCAGUGUGCAAGAUAACCUCUCAUUCCCUACUUACUAUAAAUGGGGCAAGAUGCAAAUGCGCUUACAAUGUACCGGCAACUUUUGUGCUGACAUGCGUCUUCUUGUCAUCAUAAAGUUUAGCGAGUCCAAAAUCUGAGAUCUUAGGGUUGAAAUUGGUGUCAAGUAAGAUAUUACUGGCCUUUAUAUCCCUAUGCACAACACGGAUGCUAGACUCUUCGUGCAAAUAAGCUAGACCUCUUGUAAUGCCUAAGCAUAUCCCAAAGCGUGUAAGCCAGUCUAGGUUCUUUCUCCCACUUCCUGCAAAUGAAUGUUUAAGUUAUACGAUGAACUCCUGGAGGGCCGGAGUUAUAUACAGUUGCAUCAAAUUGAAUGAACCUGUACCAAACAAUGCUUUAUCAAGACUUCCAUUCUCUAAGUACUCGUAAACCAGCAGUGGAUUUUCGCCCUCAAGGCAGCAACCAUACAACUUCACGAGAUUCCGAUGUUGCACUUGGGAAAUAGUUUCUAUUUCAGCUAUGAAUUGCUUCUUCCCUUGACGAGAUGUUUCAGAUAGCUGCUUUACUGCUACCAUGCUUCCAUCGGUCAGUUUACCCUGCGAAAAUGUGGCAUUUUUCAAGAAUGUAAGUUUCAGACACCUCAUUAUCACGCAUAUAAUGGACAAAAUAAAGAUACUGCCAAGCUAACCAUGUCGGGCAACUAUAAAAGGAACUAGUAGAGAGCAACAAAAGGGAAAACCAAUGGGGAAUGUGUGUGUAGAUUGAUAUUACUAAAAGAAUAGGUGAAGCAUUGCCCAGAAGUAGAGGUUUAUUAGUCAAUUUGCAUACAGAAAAAGAGCUCUGAUGUGCACUACUUAUGUACGUGGAAACUUAAUUUCAGAGGUAAAUUAAAAUUCCAUAGCAAAUUUGCAUCCAUGUCACCAUGUGUAGUACAGAUGAACUAACCUUAUAAACUGCCCCGUAUCCUCCUUCACCAAGAAGGUUAGUGGAAUUAAAAUUUUCACUAGCGGUCCUUAGUUCACCAUAACUGUAACUAAAUACAUUUGGUCUUCCAACACAACUGUACAGCUCUGCAAGAAUCACAAGAGAUAAGUUUAUGAGCACAACCUCUUUGUCUGGUUUAAGAAUACACUGUGAACCUGUCAUAUCAUGUACCUCGUUUGUCCAAUGACAAUUUUCUACUUUUCUGCUUCAACACAUAGAGUCCAGAGAGCACCACUAGUCCUAAAACUGCUGCACCAACCCCAACCCCAACAGCUACACCUGUAUCGCUAGUACGCUUCGUCUGGGCAUCAUUACGUACUGCAGGAUUGAAAUCUGUCCAAAAGUCCACUUGUUAGAACAAAUGAAAUCUUGGAUUUGGAUCCUAUGUUAAGUGUUUAUGAAUUUUCACUUUUUAAAAGUACUUGAGAAUUCAGCACCGGUUCAGAGUGGAUCUGUAAUUCUGUAUCACUAUUAUACAUGUAAGAGUGUUGGUUCAGUCAUCAGCAUUCUCCUAAUGGGAACUAAGUUGACCCCGCGAAAAUUAUCUAAACAGUAUAGAAACGUUGGUUUAUAGCCAACGGGAGUACUUGGAAUUGCACUCAAAGCAGAGAUCGAAGGCCCAUAAUAGCCUGGACUAGGGAUGCAACAAGUGCCCUUGCCAGCCCAGAAAAGAUGAAUCUCAAGGAAGUUUCUGGUGACAGGAACAGUAUACUGCUUCUUGACAGCAGUGUAAGAUUUCCCGCCUGCUGCCUUUCUUAUGUCAAAGUUCUGCUCCUUACGCUCACCCUGUACCAAAAGCAAGAAAAAACAAUUAGAAAAUCUCAAUCAGCCCAUAAGCUAAAAACUCAAGUAAGUGUAAGUUAUCAGCAUGACUGGAAUCUACCUGAACAUAGAUAUCGAAAACCCUUUUACCUAAACUCUUCCAAGUCUGCAUGUCUUCGAACUCAAACUCUGCAAAUUGAAGUGUGACUGUAUAGUUUCCAUUCUCAAGUCCAAUGCCAUAGUAGCGUAAUGAUGAUGGAGACAUCCUUGCUGUCUGGAACAGUUCUGAAUCUAGAGUUUUCUGAAACUGGCGUGAGCUGUAGAUUAUGUAACUUCCAUUUUGUGAAUCCAUGAACCUCCCAACAUUGCUAACACCCCAUGUCAGUGCUCCUGUAUCAUAAUAGGAAGCAGGUCUAACAUAAUAGGAAGCAGGUCCCAGAUCGGUGUUGUCAAUAAAAUAAUUUGAGCCUGAUAUAGAUCUAGAGCUCCCACAGUCCACAGCAAAGGAGGAAGCUGCAAGCAUGUUAAAUUAUUUAAUACUGAUGUUAUUUAGCGCAUCCUUAAAGUGCAAAAGUGGAAGCUCACGUUGUGAAGGGUAAGGAAAGCAGGGUGUGUCUCGCUGAAGGCACUAUAGCCCCGAAGGUAAGGCACUGAAGAUGUCAAACAUUGUCAAUUUGAAUCCAAAAUAUGAGCUGACAGCCUGAGAGAACAUAAAAAUUGUGCUUGAACACUUUAAUGACCUAUUUGAAUACAAACUGACUUAUUAUUAUUGAAGUCGUCGAUUAUGAAAUUGUUCGCCACCAAAUUCCUAUGUAGAAUGAAACAUGCAAAAAACGUUAGAAGGCGCUAUUGUGGAGAAUCAAGAGAAACCAAAGCAGGGACAAAAUUGAUUCAGUUUUUUAAGAUAAGCAGUAAGGUAAAGUACACAUCUGCUUGUUCAAAGAUUCUGAAUCAUAGAUGACGUGAAAUGCAAAAAAAAAAAGAAAAAAAAAGAAAUAUGAUCUAGGUGCAGCAAAAGCAGCUUUUUAGAUGUAGUCGAUAUUAAAAAAUGCUAGUUUAAUACAUGUGUAUGACAUUGGAUUAUCUUUAAAAAAAUAGUAAUAGGGCUGAAUUUUCGGUCAGUCAAUCAAGCUUGCAAAACACAGCACAUACAAUUUCAAAAUCAGACUAACCCAGGAGGGAAAGUUUCCUGAUAGCUGGUUGUAGGAAAAGUCUCUACACAAAAGAAAGCGUGUAAAUGUUAUAGAUAAACGCCUUCCUGGUUUUACUUCACAAAUGAAAGUGGACAAACAUACAAGUUUUUAAGAGAAGUUCCUAUAGAACUUGGAAGGCUUCCUGAAAGACUAUUAUUCCCGAGAAACCUGGGCAGACCAAAUUUGCGCAUUAACAAGAUUGAUGAUCAUUGUCAUCAGAACCUAGAAAUAAGUAUCAGAAGGCAAGAUAAACCAUACAAGAAGCUGAGUGAAUUCAGAUUCAGCAGAGCUUGUGGUACCUGGCCAGUGAUAUUGUUAAAACUCAAAUCCCUGUAACAGUAGAACAAAUGAGACUAGGAGAGAAAGGGGUCAUCAAACAAUGCAUAAUCCACAGCAGUUCAUUAAAGCAUCUAGCAAAACAUACAGUUGACUGGAGUUUAGGAAGAAACAAAAUGUCUUACAGUAGGGUUAAUGUUGCAAACUGUGAAAAGUUUACUGAUGCCAGGUUAUCAGAUAUCUUGCAGUUCCUCAAAACUCUGCAAUGAAACAUGUCAAGAGUUUUCAGAUUUAACAAUUGGUUACACUACAGAAAAUAUUAAGAUGUAGUUUGAGUCAUCAAAUGAAUGGCAAGUUAUGCAUACAAGGUGUUCAAAGAUGUCAUGUUACUGAUGAAUGCCAGUGAAGAACUUCCAUUUACUAUGUC